rnacentral:rRNA from 1 species
GAUGAACGCUAGCGGCAGGCUUAACACAUGCAAGUCGAGGGGUAGAGGUUGCUUGCAACCUUGAGACCGGCGCACGGGUGCGUAACGCGUAUGCAACCUACCUUUUACAGAGGGAUAGCCCAGAGAAAUUUGGAUUAAUACCUCAUAGUAUAUAACCUUCGCAUGUUGGUUAUAUUAAAGUUCCAACGGUAAAAGAUGGGCAUGCGUCCUAUUAGCUAGAUGGUAAGGUAACGGCUACCAUGGCAACGAUAGGUAGGGGUCCUGAGAGGGAGAUCCCCCACACUGGUACUGUGACACGGACCAGACUCCUACGGGAGGCAGCAGUGAGGAAUAUUGGACAAUAGGCGCAAGCCUGAUCCAGCCAUGCCGCGUGCAGGAAGAAGCAUCUAUGGUGUGUAAACUGCUUUUGUACAGGAAGAAACACCCCGACGUGUCGGGACUUGACGGUACUGUAAGAAUAAGGAUCGGCUAACUCCGUGCCAGCCGCCGCCGUAAGAC